rnacentral:tRNA from 1 species
AGCAGUGUGGCUCAGUGGAAAGAGCACGGUCUUGGGACCCAGAUGUCAUGGGUUCAAAUCCCAGAUCUGCCG